rnacentral:rRNA from 1 species
UGGGGAAUUUUGGACAAUGGGGGAAACCCUGAUCCAGCAAUGCCGCGUGAGUGAAGAAGGCCUUAGGGUUGUAAAGCUCUUUCGCCCGCGAAGAUAAUGACGGUAGCGGGAGAAGAAGCCCCGGCUAACUCCGUGCCAGCAGCCGCGGUAAUACGGAGGGGGCUAGCGUUGUUCGGAAUUACUGGGCGUAAAGCAUACGUAGGCGGACGCGCAAGUUGGGGGUGAAAUCCCGGGGCUUAACCUCGGAAUUGCCCUCAAAACUGCACGUCUUGAGACCGAGAGAGGUAAGGGGAAUUCCUAGUGUAGAGGUGAAAUUCGUAGAUAUUAGGAAGAACACCAGUGGCGAAGGCGCCUUACUGGCUCGGUACUGACGCUGAGGUACGAAAGCGUGGGGAGCAAACA